rnacentral:rRNA from 1 species
CCUACGGGAGGCAGCAGUGAGGAAUAUUGCACAAUGGGGGAAACCCUGAUGCAGCGACGCCGCGUGAGUGAAGACGUAUUUCGGUAUUUAAAGCUCUAUCAGCAGGGGAGAAGAAAGACGGUACCUGACUAAGAAGCCCCGGCUAACUACGUGCCAGCAGCCGCGGGAAUACGUAGGGGGCAAGCGUUAUCCGGAUUUACUGGGUGUAAAGGGAGCGUAGAGGGCUGUGCAAGUCUGAAGUGAAAGCCCAGGGCUCAACCCCGGGACUGCUGUUGAAACUGGCGAGCUAGAGUGCUGGAGAGGUAAGUGGAAUUCGUAGUGUAGCGGUGAAAUGCGUAGAUAUCAGGAGGAACACCAGUGGCGAAGGCGGCAUACUGGACAGUAACUGACGUUGAGGCACGAAAGCGUGGGGAUCAAACAGGAUUAGAUACCCGUGUAGUC